AUUGAACGCUGGCGGCAGGCCUAACACAUGCAAGUCGAACGGCAGCGGGGGAUAGCUUGCUAUCCUGCCGGCGAGUGGCGGACGGGUGAGUAAUGCAUGGGGAGCUGCCCAAUCGAGGGGGAUAACAACUGGAAACGGUUGCUAAUACCGCAUACGCCCUGCGGGGGAAAGGUGGGGACCUUCGGGCCUACCGCGAUUGGAUGCACCCAUGUGGGAUUAGCUGGUUGGUGAGGUAACGGCUCACCAAGGCGACGAUCUCUAGCUGGUCUGAGAGGAUGACCAGCCACACUGGAACUGAGACACGGUCCAGACUCCUACGGGAGGCAGCAGUGGGGAAUAUUGCACAAUGGGGGAAACCCUGAUGCAGCCAUGCCGCGUGUGUGAAGAAGGCCUUCGGGUUGUAAAGCACUUUCAGUGGGGAGGAAGGGCAGCAAGCUAAUAACUUGCUUCAUUGACGUUACCCACAGAAGAAGCACCGGCUAACUCCGUGCCAGCCGCCGCUGUAAUAC
rnacentral:rRNA from 1 species